rnacentral:rRNA from 1 species
GAUCCUGGCUCAGGACGAACGCUGGCGGCGUGCCUAACACAUGCAAGUCGAACGGAGAAUUUUAUUUCGGUAGAAUUCUUAGUGGCGAACGGGUGAGUAACGCGUAGGCAACCUGCCCUUUAGACGGGGACAACAUUCCGAAAGGAGUGCUAAUACCGGAUGUGAUCAUUGUUCCGCAUGGCAGGAUGAAGAAAGAUGGCCUCUACAAGUAAGCUAUCGCUAAAGGAUGGGCCUGCGUCUGAUUAG